GCAUGGAGGCGCUACCAGGAGACAGGCCAGUACAUCAGGAGACGUGGAGGAGGCCGUAGGAGGGCAACAACCCAACAACCCCAUUCGUUGCAUUUAUAUCUGCAACGUUCGAAUACUGAAUGUGGGCCUGGGCAUUUGGGAUAAUUGUUUUUAAAUUUGUACUUUUAUUCAAUGUUCUAGGAUAUUUCCUUUUCAAGCAUUUUCUUUGAAACAUAUUAGUAGCAAUAGGAAUGUUCUUGUUUUGCUGGGAACCAUAUUCUGCGGACACUUGAAUGGCGAGCUGGUCUCUGGCAUCACUCAUAGAGCUCUCUCUUAUCUUCUCUUGGUCUGUUAUCCCUUAUCCUACAAUUCCUGCUUUUGACCCAUGACCCCUUUAUGCCCUGUGGCUUUUUGUCAUCAAACCGUUGGUCCUAUUCCAAAUGCUCUGUGUUGCCCCACCCGCGUGCACCUUGGCCACCCCUCUACGUGCCAUACUGCCUCGCCCCCUUCCCUCCUCAGCCUGAACCCGAGCAGCCCCCUGCAGCGGAGGAGCCCAAGCAGAACGACAAAGAGUCCCAGGAGGCCAAGGCCGGCUGGGAGGAAGACAAGCCUGCAGCCAACCAGGGUGGCUGGGGCGAUGAUGAGACUGGGGCCGCCCCGAGCUGGGAUACUGAAGGGACACCGCAGGCUUCUCAGGCAGGCUGGGACCAGGAUGUGACCCAGACUGGGCAUUCUCAGGGUGACUGGGGCGAUAACAGGGCCCAGGUAGGGGAAGAGGCUGCAGAUGCUGCCACUGAUGGACAGGCAGGCUGGGUUGAUGCGGGUGCCCAGGCUGGGUGGGCAGAGGAGCCAACUGCAGACGGGCAGGUGGGCUGGGCGGACUCUGGGCAGACUGGCUGGGCUGACUCAGAGCAGAGCGUGAGUAGGCGGGGAACGAGGAAGUACCGUAGGGGAGUGUAGAUGUGCUAUAGGUAGCGCUGGUAGAUGGACAGGAGGUUCAUUACAGUAGUGAUGGGAGACCAAGGCUUCAAAAACACGAUGGACAGCUGGGUGUUGAUCGUUGACUGGGACAAACAAACACCCUGUGAGUACCCCAUCUGACAGAAGGUUGAUCAAGUUUCAGUCUCCCAUCUUUAGGAUCCGUAGAUAAAUGGCAUGGCUGUUGUGGCGGUCUGAUGGUGGCACAUGUUGACAGAUUGUGCCCAGGGAGAGAGUCUUUGUGCCUGUGUGUAUGUAUUCCUGUGAAGUCUUCAUACCUGUAUGUGUAUGCUGAUCUCUGUGGGGUGGGAGGGAUACAUGUCCAUUGGGAAUUCUCACCUCCCCUUUCGCUCCCUUCCAGACUGACACUGCUGUGGCGGCCGCUGCAGGGGCUGCAACCACUGCGGUGACCAAUGGGUCUUCUGAGGUGCUGCCGGCUGGAGUCAUUUACAAGGUCAAAGCCAUGCAUGACUACGCUGCCACCGAUGGAGACGAGCUGGAGAUGAAAGCAGGAGAUGUUGUGCUGGUCCUGGCCUGGGAGAAUCCUGAUGAGCAGGAUGACGGCUGGCUCAUGGGCGUGAAGGAAUCUCAUUGGCUGGAGAACAAAGACCUCUUGGCAAAAGGAGUCUUCCCUGAAAACUUUACCCAGAAGUUGUGAGCCGGACGUCCCAUCCAACCUGCACUCCCCCUUCCCCUCUCAUCCCUUUUCCGUCCUUUGGGACAUCUGCCAGGAUAGAAACAAACCAAAACCACAAUCUCAAUCCUUGACCCAUGUAUCAAAUGUGCUGGUAUAUUUUAGCAGAUUCGCACGAUUAUUGUUUUGACUUGUUACAUUUGACUACGUAAUGUAUGUGUUUUUGCUAAUGCUAAUGUGGUCAGUAAUGUAUUUAUGCUAAGCUAAUGUGGCCAGUAGAAACAAAGAGUAUGCUAGUUUCAAUGAAAAAGUAAUGGAUGUCAGACUGCUUGAACACCUUUUGACAUGUCAUGUAAAAAAAACAUUAAGAGUUGCAUGAUCAUUUUACUGUAGUCAUUGACUUUGUAACAACAUCACACUCCUAGACAGAGAUUGGGACUGCUCUGGUAUCAGUCCUUCAGUUCUGACUGUGAUGAGACGAAAAAUGUACUGGUACUGGAUCAGAACCUUGGGGCACACCACACCAGAUUAAAGCAAUGUGACCUGGGUCAUGUUCGGAAGGGUACUCUACAGCAAAACGUUUUGCAAUGGAAAAACUAAAAAUCUCUGUUCUUAUUGGACAUUUCAGGUAGUAUACCUCCACAUUUACCCUACUGGCUCUGUUGUCGUUAACUCUUAAGUCUAUACUUUGUCUGUAUCAAACUUUAAGUCACUAUUAUUCUAUUUUAAAAGACUCCGUAGCUGUUCUGAAACCAUGUGAUCUUAUAUCUGUGACCCGUUUAAUGUACCAUUUGCCCCUGAGAAGUGGGCUCCCUAGGCUGUUGCUCUGCUAAGAUUAAUGUUUUAUCUAUUGUACUGUCCCUCUCGCCACCUUUGUAUUGUACUGUCCCUCUCUCCUAAGCAGUAGUUGAAGGGAAAUAAAGGAAACCCAGCCUUUGCUCUCUCCCUUAGAGAGAAAUCUCUCAGAGAUUGGGUCAGUGGUCAGGAGUCAGGACACACAUCAGAAACAGGCUCCCUAGAUCUGUGUAUUUUUCUAUCAAUCCCUCUCCUGUGAAAGAGAUUCCUGGGACAUGUGUUAGGGAAUGGUGUGCAGAAGCCCUGCAGGGUUGCAACCAUAUACAUGGAAUCAAUAGAAAGGGCUUUGAAGUUGAAACCUCUAGCCCUGGCAAUUUGACUGGUAAACUCAUGUGUGCAAUGGCUGCCAGUCCACCCACUAUGCCAUCAUUGACUUGAAUGAGGAAGCCUGUUCUAUGGAUUCUAUUUCUAUGGUUGCGACAACUUUUGUGAAACACUGGAUAACUAAAGCAAGAGCAUAAUAUGCUCUCAACUCUGUGGUAUUGGUUUCAUUAGAACCUCAGGUUAUGGCCUGGCUCUGAGUGGAGUGAAGCCUGUCGAUAAUGGCUCAAUCAUAAAAUCUACACCUAGCUGUCUGUAUUAGAAUAUGUUGAUAAGGGCUAGAGGUGAGGGGUAAUUAACAAACAGCAUGUUCAGAAGAGUUUUAUAACUGUGGUUAAUGUUCUGAUCAAAAGUAAGGCAACUAUUUAUGGGUGUCAUACAAUUUCUAUGUAACAAUCCAUACAAGUAUUCAAAGAGCCCUGAAACAAAUCAUCUCAAUGUCCAUUGUGUCCUGCUGAAAACCAAAGUUAAACUCAGUCAAAUUAAGCCUAUGGGAUGUACUGUGUUCAAAUCCUAGAUGUAGCUGAAAAUCAACACCUGUGUGAACACACUGUGACUGUAUGUUAAAAAUAUCUCUCAGUGGAAAGUGAUCAAGCCUGUAACCGACAGUCUUCUUUACAACAUUAAAGAUGGGUUCAACACC